CUGAAUGAAAACGGGUAGUCCUUGUUCUGCUUGGGGGGCUUUAAGGAAGCAAAUGGACUUUCAGAACAGAGACUGUCAAUAAAGUUCAGGAUAACAGUGUUGGAGGACUUUUAGUCUCUGGGGAACUCCAAGGAACGUCAUUCUAUGUACAUGAUAGACUCUUUGGAAGAAGAUGCUGGACCUGUGCUCACCAGGGAAGUGAUGACUCUGCUCAUUUGAUUUUCUUUCAUUGACUUAAAAACUGGCCUGUUUCUAAUGUUGACUAUUCAACCAGAAGCAGAAAUGACAAACAUUUGAAGGUGGGAAUCACUCGUGAGACAUUUUCACAAGGCCAUGGAAUUCAUCCUACAGCCCCCUUGCCUCAUUAAUGGGAUGCCCACACAUCCUUUAUCCUCAUGUCAUCCACCUCACAUCAUUCAGGAUCCUAUUAUAGGUGCUCAAUCUUGGGAAAUGUCUCUCUUAAUGUCCCUGAGAAGAGAGAGUACAGUAGGCUAGAAACAGCAGUCUGUGUGUGAAGAUUCCACAAUGGCUCUUCAGCUGUAUGCCACUAUGCGGGUCUGGUAUUGCUGCUUGAAAUCACAGCAAUGCCCAUCUGGAGCUCUGGAUAUGUCCUUUGAAGAGGUGCCCACAACACUGACCACAUCGGAGGCUACCACAGAUCCUGGGGGAAGGCUUGCAGCAGCUGAGGGUAGACUCCCUGAUCACUGAGCUCCUCCAUGCAGUGUUGUUAAUGUCUCCUCCAGAGCUCGAUGAAGGCCUGGGCUGCCUUGAAGCACUGAGUGAUGCCAUGCCAAUUGAAGGCAAGGUCUUUAUUGCUGAAACUCUUGCAUAAUGAUAUCUUUAUUCAUGUGAAA